GAUGAAGAACGUAGCGAAAUGCGAUACGUAAUGUGAAUUGCAGAAUUCAGUGAAUCAUCGAAUCUUUGAACGCACAUUGCGCCCCUUGGUAUUCCAUGGGGCAUGCCUGUUCGAGCGUCAUUUGUACCUUCAAGCUUUGCUUGGUGUUGGGUGUUUGUCCUGAGGGACUCGCCUUAAAGUAAUUGGCAGCCAGUGUUUGGUUUUGAAGCGCAGCACAAGUCGCGAUUCAAAGCUAUACGCCCGCUUCCACAAGCCUUUUUCACUUUUGACCUCGGAUCAGGUAGGGAUACCCGCUGAACUUAAGCAUAUCAAUAAGCGGAGGA
rnacentral:misc_RNA from 1 species